AAAGCCUGUGAAGAAACAGAUGGAGGAGAGUAGAGGCUAGCCUCUAUAAAAAACACUGAAACUUGAACUCUGAUCCUCAAUAUCGGAUGCAAAAACACUUCUUUUAUUUAAAAACUUCAAGAUUGAAAUGACUUAUAUGUUUUGUAGCAACUGAUGCAUGGCUUUUCCUACAUUGUUUACAUCUGCUUGACAUUUUGGGGUAAUGCGAGUGUGUUCAUAUAUACAGCCAUGAAUGCAGAACUACAUUUGGAUGACUGCACUCCCAAGAGUGGACUACUGAUCUGUAAAUAUUUGCGUUGAGAGACCUGAAAAACUUUGAUCCGCCAGACGUACACUUCUCUGUUUGUUUUCUCGUGCUACAGUUAGAUACUCAAAACGGCCGACCCAAUCAAGAUGAGUGACCGGAUUCUGCAUCGUGGAACUCAAGCAGCAUACACACCCAGUCAAUAUGUCUGAAGCUUGUCAGAGUGUGUGUGUGUGUGUGUGUGUGUGUGUGUGUGAGAAGAGGCAAACUGGUGUGUGGCCGGUGUGAGUGCCACGAGCCUGAUGCUGGAUAACAGUGUAACAUUCACCCUUUUUUUGUUCCCACCAAAUGAAAACUUCUGUCACUCGGGCCAGAACGCCCCUGUGUUCAGUGGUAGGGGGUAAUCCACGCAGGGAUUCUGUGAGUGUGAGUAAACCCGACAGAAAAAUACAGCGAACAAUUCUGCGAGUGCAGCAACUGUCCAUAACACAAAAGCUGGUACUAAAUUUGAUUAAUUAGCCAUGUAAUAUUGUCUUACAUUUUAAUUCUACUUAAUUACAGAAACAGAUUUAUAUUUUUGAGGCUAGACUUUUUUCUAUAACAGAAUAUGCGGAGUCCAUGGGAAGUGCAAAUGUGGAUGUUGUGUUUGUGAUGACGACUUGGCCGGUAAAGACCGCAGCUGCUCCAUGGUAACGGCUGCCUGUAUGGCAAACCAGAGGCUGUGUAGUGCGGGAACAGGUAAAUGUGAGCCACCAUACACAGGCCCGCCUUAUGAAGACUGCCCUGUUUGUCCAGGCAGGUGUCAGCCGCACAGGGAGUGCGUGGAGAGAAGGGCAUUUGGGACAGGAGCAAAGAAGGACAGGUGUGACCAAGAGUGUGUCUACCUCACCCUGACAAUAAUGGAGACCAGACAUGAUAUGCCACACCUAGCAGCACAUUCUGCAACCUGUAAAAUGAUGAGCAGUGAUGACUCUUGCUUCUUUUACUACACCUUCUCCCGCACGCCCUCUAGAGGACAGUCAACUGUGGUGUGGGUUAAGGAAAGUUCUUUGUGUACCAUAGAAGGGAUCAACCAGCAAUCAAUCCUAUAGUUCCCUGUCUUUAAUGUUACUACUGGUCCAAAUCAGCUUCAUGCACUGAGUUUUACUUCACUAGAUAUGACGUUUGAGUGUGUUUUUUGGUCCUAAUUUUUGUUCUAAAUCCUUUAAUUAGUUGUAUUGUAAGAAAAUAGGUAGAUAAAAUAAUUCUUUCCGGUUUUCAUUAUUUUACUGCACUGUGUCAUCCUCUUGCAUCAUGUCUAAUUUACCAACAGGCUGAACAUCUCUGGUUUUAAAUAGAGUUGUAAUGUUAACUGCAUCAGCAGGAGAAGUUGAUUUAAGCCUUCUGUAGAAUUAUUAGCAUAAUGCCCAUGAAAGACAACCCAUUAUUAAUAUCAAUGUUUUGGCUUAGACGUAUGGUAACAAAAAAGAAAGAAAGAAAGCAUACCUCCAUCCUUAUGAUAAUGCAGUUGUUUCGAGCUAUGAGGCUGGUACUGUGCUGGAAGCGAAGGUCUCUGGCCUGAAGACUUAGCUCCUGGCAAAGCUCAGUUUUCUUCUUCUCUGAAAGAGAAAAAAGAAAUAAGAGGGGAAGAAGAAGAGGGUUAGAAUAAAAACACAACUGAAUACCUCUCUGUUUCAUAUAUAUUUUAUCUAAUCUAUGUUCAACUGCGUCAGUCUCAAUGACAACCAUGAUUUUGUUCCUCAAAUAAAUAAAGACAGGCAGGUAAAUCAAACAUGAAUAAGAUUUAUGUUCCAACACUUACCAAAUGAUGUCACAUUUCCCUCUUGGUCGAAAUUCAUCUGUGAAAUA